rnacentral:rRNA from 1 species
UGGGGAAUAUUGCACAAUGGAGGGAACUCUGAUGCAGCGACGCCGCGUGAGUGAAGAAGUAUUUCGGUAUGUAAAGCUCUAUCAGUAGGGAAGAUAAUGACGGUACCUACAUAAGAAGCCCCGGCUAAAUACGUGCCAGCAGCCGCGGUAAUACGUAUGGGGCAAGCGUUAUCCGGAUUUACUGGGCGUAAAGCGCGCGCAGGCGGACUAGCCAGUCAGUCUUAAAAGUUCGGGGCUUAACCCCGUGAUGGGAUUGAAACUACUAGUCUAGAGUAUCGGAGAGGAAAGUGGAAUUCCUAGUGUAGCGGUGAAAUGCGUAGAUAUUAGGAAGAACACCAGUGGCGAAGGCGACUUUCUGGACGAACACUGACGCUGAGGCGCGAAAGCCAGGGGAGCGAACGGG